rnacentral:rRNA from 1 species
AGCAGCCGCGGUAAUUCCAGCUCCAAUAGCGUAUAUUAAAGUUGUUGCAGUUAAAAAGCUCGUAGUUGAAUUUCGGGAUCUGCAGGGUUGGUCAUGUUUCGGCAUGCACUGGCCUUGGUGAUUCCUCCUUCUUGUAGAACCGUGAUGCCAUUAAUUUGGUGUUGUGGGGAAACAGGUCUGUUACUUUGAAAAAAUUAGAGUGCUUAAAGCAGGCUAACGCUUGAAUACAUUAGCAUGGAAUAAUAAAAUAGGACGUUUGAUCUUAUUUUGUUGGUUUCUAGGAUUGACGUAAUGAUUAAUAGGGAUAGUUGGG